rnacentral:rRNA from 1 species
AGAGAGAGACAUGCGCGCAUAUCAAUAAGCGGAGGAAAAGAAACUAACUAGGAUUCCCUCAGUAACGGCGAGUGAAGCGGGAAGAGCUCAAAUUUGAAAUCUUCAAGGUUCUACCUUGACGAAUUGUAGUUUAAAGAAGUGUUUUCUGUUGGAGUUUUGGUAAAAGUUCUUUGGAAUAGGACAUCAUAGAGGGUGAGAAUCCCGUAUUUGACCAUUAUUUCCAGCUUUGUGAUACACUUUCAAAGAGUCGGAUUGUUUGGGAAUGCAGUCCAAAAUGGGUGGUAAAUUUCAUCUAAAGCUAAAUAUUGGCGAGAGACCGAUAGCGAACAAGUACCGUGAGGGAAAGAUGAAAAGAACUUUGAAAAGAGAGUUAAACAGUACGUGAAAUUGUCAAAAGGGAAGCGUUUGACACCAGUGUUGUUUUUCUGAAAAUCAAUUAAAGAACUGUUUAUGCUAAGCUGUUUAGACUUUAUCAGCUAUCUGUUUAGUUUUGAGCUUUUCUUUAAUGCACUUUUCAGUUAACAAGUCAACAUCAAUUUCUUUUGUUGUAAAAGGGUCAUUGGAAGGUGGCUUUCUUUUCGGAGAAAGUGUUUAUAGCCUUUGGCCUCUGCAAUCGGAGAGAUUGAGGUCUGCAGCGUAGAUCCUUCGGGGUUAGAUACAUUUGUGCUAAGUUAUAGCAUUUCAUAGACAACUUGUUGACUAUGAUUAGUCAUUGUAGCUUACUCGCUUAUGUUAUUUUACCUACGCUUAGGAUGUUGAUGUGAUACUGCGAGCA